UUAUGCUGAUAAGAGCGUAUGGUGGAUGCCUUGGCACUAAGAGCCGAUGAAAGACGUGAUAAGCUGCGAAAAGCUUCGGGGAGGGGCAAAUACCCAUCGAUCCGGAGAUUUCUGAAUGGGGAAACCUAACUGAGCAAACCUCAGUUAUCCUGACGCCAAUCCAUAACGUCAGGAAGGGAACCCGGUGAACUGAAACAUCUAAGUAGCCGGAGGAAGAGAAAACAACAUGUGAUUCUGUGAGUAGCGGCGAGCGAAAACGGAAGAGCCCAAACCGGGAUGCGUGCAUCCCGGGGUUCGGACCGCGGAAUUGAUUCAACAAGUUUAGCAGAACAGUUUUGGGAAAGCUGACCAAAGAGGGUGAAAGUCCCGUAAGCGAAAGGCGAGUUGACAUGGCGGUAUCCAGAGUAGGUCGAGACACGUGGAACCUUGACUGAAUAUGCGGGGACCACCCCGUAAGGCUAAAUACUCCUUAGUGACCGAUAGCGCAUAGUACUGUGAAGGAAAGGUGAAAAGGACCCCGGGAGGGGAGUGAAAAAGAACCUGAAACCAUAUGUUUACAAGCUGUGGAACAUCUUUAUAUGAUGAACCGCGUACUUUUUGUAGAACGGUCCGGCGAGUUACGCUGGCUGGCGAGGUUAAGCACUGAAGGUGCGGAGCCGAAGGGAAACCAAGUCUGAACAGGGCGAAAGUCAGUCGGAGUAGACCCGAAACCGGGUGAUCUAUCCAUGUCCAGGUUGAAGUUGCCGUAAAAGGCAAUGGAGGACCGAACCCACAUCCGUUGAAAAGGGUGGGGAUGAGGUGUGGAUAGGGGAGAAAUUCCAAUCGAACCCGGAGAUAGCUGGUUCUCCUCGAAAUAGCUUUAGGGCUAGCCUCAUACAAGUCUUGCGGAGGUAGAGCACUGAAUUCCUACGGGGGCGUCAAAGCUUACCAAGGGAUAUCAAACUCCGAAUGCCGUGUAGAUGAUGUAUGGGAGUCAGACUAUCCGAGAUAAGUUGGGUAGUCGAAAGGGAAAGAGCCCAGACCUGCAGCUAAGGCCCCAAAAUGUGUGUUAAGUGGAAAAGGAUGUGGGAUUUCGAAGACAACUAGGAUGUUGGCUUAGAAGCAGCCAUCCAUUAAAAGAGUGCGUAAUAGCUCACUAGUCGAGAGGUCCUGCGCCGAAAAUGUCCGGGGCUGAAACACACUGCCGAAGCUCAGGGAUGAACAGUGAUCAAUACAGAUCAAUGCAAGAGGAAAGCUUCUUGAUGAAAUCAAGAAGAUUCCAAAACAGAUGAAACAGACUGCUGUUGGUCUGCGUUGAUCACUG
rnacentral:rRNA from 1 species